AAAUUGAAGAGUUUGAUCAUGGCUCAGAUUGAACGCUGGCGGCAGGCCUAACACAUGCAAGUCGAACGGUAACAGGAAGCAGCUUGCUGCUUCGCUGACGAGUGGCGGACGGGUGAGUAAUGUCUGGGAAACUGCCUGAUGGAGGGGGAUAACUACUGGAAACGGUGGCUAAUACCGCAUAACGUCGCAAGACCAAAGAGGGGGGACCUUCGGGCCUCUUGCCAUCAGAUGUGCCCAGAUGGGAUUAGCUAGUUGGUGAGGUAACGGCUCACCAAGGCGACGAUCCCUAGCUGGUCUGAGAGGAUGACCAGCCACACUGGAACUGAGACACGGUCCAGACUCCUACGGGAGGCAGCAGUGGGGAAUAUUGCACAAUGGGCGCAAGCCUGAUGCAGCCAUGCCGCGUGUAUGAAGAAGGCCUUCGGGUUGUAAAGUACUUUCAGCGGGGAGGAAGGUGUUGUGGUUAAUAACCGCAGCAAUUGACGUUACCCGCAGAAGAAGCACCGGCUAACUCCGUGCCAGCAGCCGCGGUAAUACGGAGGGUGCAAGCGUUAAUCGGAAUUACUGGGCGUAAAGCGCACGCAGGCGGUCUGUCAAGUCGGAUGUGAAAUCCCCGGGCUCAACCUGGGAACUGCAUUCGAAACUGGCAGGCUUGAGUCUUGUAGAGGGGGGUAGAAUUCCAGGUGUAGCGGUGAAAUGCGUAGAGAUCUGGAGGAAUACCGGUGGCGAAGGCGGCCCCCUGGACAAAGACUGACGCUCAGGUGCGAAAGCGUGGGGAGCAAACAGGAUUAGAUACCCUGGUAGUCCACGCCGUAAACGAUGUCUACUUGGAGGUUGUGCCCUUGAGGCGUGGCUUCCGGAGCUAACGCGUUAAGUAGACCGCCUGGGGAGUACGGCCGCAAGGUUAAAACUCAAAUGAAUUGACGGGGGCCCGCACAAGCGGUGGAGCAUGUGGUUUAAUUCGAUGCAACGCGAAGAACCUUACCUGGUCUUGACAUCCACAGAAGAAUCCAGAGAUGGAUUGGUGCCUUCGGGAACUGUGAGACAGGUGCUGCAUGGCUGUCGUCAGCUCGUGUUGUGAAAUGUUGGGUUAAGUCCCGCAACGAGCGCAACCCUUAUCCUUUGUUGCCAGCGAUUAGGUCGGGAACUCAAAGGAGACUGCCAGUGAUAAACUGGAGGAAGGUGGGGAUGACGUCAAGUCAUCAUGGCCCUUACGACCAGGGCUACACACGUGCUACAAUGGCGCAUACAAAGAGAAGCGACCUCGCGAGAGCAAGCGGACCUCAUAAAGUGCGUCGUAGUCCGGAUUGGAGUCUGCAACUCGACUCCAUGAAGUCGGAAUCGCUAGUAAUCGUGGAUCAGAAUGCCACGGUGAAUACGUUCCCGGGCCUUGUACACACCGCCCGUCACACCAUGGGAGUGGGUUGCAAAAGAAGUAGGUAGCUUAACCUUCGGGAGGGCGCUUACCACUUUGUGAUUCAUGACUGGGGUGAAGUCGUAACAAGGUAACCGUAGGGGAACCUGCGGUUGGAUCACCUCCUUACCUUAAAGAAGC
rnacentral:rRNA from 1 species